rnacentral:rRNA from 1 species
UACGUAGGGUGCGAGCGUUAAUCGGAAUUACUGGGCGUAAAGCGUGCGCAGGCGGUUCGCUGUGUCCUGUGUGAAAGCCCCGGGCUUAACCUGGGAAUGGCGUGGGAAACUGGCGGGCUGGAGUGUGGCAGAGGGGGGUGGAAUUCCGCGUGUAGCAGUGAAAUGCGUAGAGAUGCGGAGGAACACCGAUGGCGAAGGCAGCCCCCUGGGCUAACACUGACGCUCAGGCACGAAAGCGUGGGGAGCAAACAGG